ACUACCCACCUUUAACUCUAAUGAGAAAGGCAGUAAUGGAGGGGACCCUGGCAGUUGAUCAGGCAGUACAGACAUAGUUUCACUACUUCUUGGAAGAUGACAGAUCAAGCAGAGCAGAGAAUUAUCAUACCAAGCUAUUUGUGUUUCAUGUAAUAAUGCCCUAAUGAUUCAAUUAGCAUUGAUUCUUCAGCAGCAACAAUAUUUUCUGACUGAUCCAGCAAUUUAGUGCUCACUGUUGAUUGAUACAAUUCCUAUGUGUAAUAAAGCAGUUUGAAAGAAAUUUGUUUAAUUCUUCACAAAUGACUUUUUAAAACCUUUUAAUUUUAACUUGAUCUUCAUUUCCCACUCUUUCCCUACCCCUGGAGGUCAUAAGGGCCCUUUAUUCUGAGUCUCCUGCCAGGCACCCCUGCUGCAUUGGUCAUCACGUGGCCAGGUCCUCCCUGCCCCUUGUCUGGGCAUCUUCAGCCUUCACCACCCCCCACAGAUGCUUGGUGGCUGCAGCCAGAGGAACAGAUGGGGCACAAUUGCUGAGCCUCGGUGAAUGGUACCCGGCACACAGCCGCUGUGGAAACGGCCCAGGCGAGAACCACUGAAGCAGGCUUUCUGAAAAACUGCCCUGGUAACACCGCUAAAAUUGGAAAAGAGGCAGGGUGUGUAGGGGGGCAGAGUGGGAGGCUGGUGGGAGAGAAGAAGGAUGAUCAAAAACAGAGAAGGGAACUAAAACAGACUAUUGGAAUAAAAUCUCUUACCAGUUAAAAACUGGGCUUCCCAGGAAAAAAGCUGAAACACUGUGGCUCUUGAGCAAAACCCCAGGAAGGGAAGCCUUUGUGACCUCAGGGAUUGGGCAAAAGGGCCAAGAGUCUGUGGUAUCUCAUCCUGACACUGUUUCUAAGCCCAUAGUCUCCUCCCAGCUGUGGCUCCCACCAAGAGCCUUUCCAGUAUGAAAUACAGGGGGCAGGGGGAAGUGUGUGGAGGAGGAAAGCCCCAGGGGCUGAGGGAGGUGUUGUUGUCCCAACCCCUGCUGUUCCUCUAGGCAACCAAUACACCACAUGACAGUCAAUGGCCCGUGGAUGGAGCCAAACUGGGGUGCUCUGCUGCCUGGGUCCCCUUUAAACAGUUCUGCCGCCAUUUCUGUGCCAGCUCUAGUGUCUACAUCUUGACUGUUUCUAUCGUCACUCCUCACCCGUCAUGCUGUCCCAAGUCAGGGCACAUCUGACUCAAGUCAGAUGGGAGAGGCAUCCUGCUGCAUUUAUCCUCAAGGAAGAAAAUCACAGACAGGCGAAGUGCAGCACUGCUCAUCCCAGGCACCCACAGUCUCCUCACCCAGGGGACGUUGCUGACGCAAUGACAAAGGUGGAAGAUGGAAUGAGUGCACCUGGAGGAGAGCUGAAAACUCACCUGUAGAGGCUCAAAAUCUGGACUGUGCUUCCCUCCUUUCCAAUCUCCUUUACCUCCAAACUCCAUAACUGAGCCCCUACAUCUUUACACAUGGCAUGUCAACUAGAUUCUUAGGAAACAGAAACUCA